rnacentral:lncRNA from 13 species
UAUUCAUUAUCGAGAUGUUACGGACAAAACGAAAAUACUAUUUUGCUGACCUAGCCAGCUAUAACGUUAUACUAUACAUGUUUAACGAUUAAAUAUGUCAUGGUGGUAACGUUAGUAUGUCUAAUUUGUGAACGCUAAUUUAGGGUUUUCAUUUAGCCAAUUAACGUUAGCCAUGUUUGAAACUCCACCUUUUGAUGGUUCAUUUAGAUUUUUGUUUAUGGGUUGGGACUCUCCUUUUCACUAUUCGCUGGCUUAGUUUGUAGCUAGUUAUGUAAACCAAGUGAACGCUUUACGUUGACCUUGUUUACAAAUCUAAUCUCAGGCCGCCAGUAUUGCCUGUUUUGUAUUUGUCCGUUAAAUUUGAAACGAUUCAAAUCAAAGGUCUUACGUUACUAGUUAGCAUGCUAGGCUAGCGCCACACUCAUGCCAGGAUGAAUUCCAAACGUCCCUAGCAACCCAACACUGACGGCAGCUUUGUAUUUCCUUUACAAAGAAGGAACGGGAUCAACAACGAGCUACCAAAACCGUGUAAGAGCCGGAGUCAGGCGACAUUUCAAAUAGUUGACUAAAUGUCUCUUCGAACUGUCUGGGGGCGGUGUAUUUUUUUUAUAAUGAUGGGACACUUGUGCUUAACCUUAUAAUUCCAAUGCGGAUUUGUGUUUAUCAUUUUCCAAUUGUCUGUCAAGUUAUUUACCAUGACCACUUCGCAACGAAGUAUUUCCUAAUGUUCCUGAGUAUUCAGGCCUUUGUGUGUGUAUGCUUUUCGCCAUCAGAUAAAGGUUCCAAUAAAAUAUGGCUAGUAACUGCAGCAUUUGGGAAGCCUGUCAACACACUACUAUACAAAACGCUGCCCCACGUACACUGAACAAAAAUAUAAACAUGAAACAUUUUCAAAUAUUUUACUGAGUUCAUAAGGUAAUCAGUAUAUAGUGACCACCAUUUGACUCAUGGAGCACGACACAUCUCCUUCGCAUAGAGUUGAUUGUGGCCUGUGGAGGUUUUUGUCCCGCUCCUCAAUGGUUGUGCGAAGUUGGUGGAUAUUGGCGGCAAGUGGAACAUGCUGUCGUACAAUGGGUGACAUGUCUGGUGAGUAUGCAGGCCAUGAAGGAACUGACAUUUUUAGCUUCCAGGAAUGACACAGAUCCUUGCGACAUGGAACCAUGCAUUAUCAAGCUGAAGCAUGAUGUCAUGGCGGUGGAUCAAUGGCAUGACGAUGGGCCUCUGGAUAUCGUCAUGGUAUCUCAGUGCAUUCAAAUUGUCAUGAUAAAAUGCAAUUGUGUACGUUUUCUGUAGAUUAUGCCUGUCCAUUCCAUAACCCCUCUGCCACCAUGGGGCACUUCUGUUCACAACGUUUAUGUCAGCAAACAACGUUUCUGUUUUGAAACAGAAAUUGACCUUGUUAUCAUUCUGUUGGUUUGAAUCUGUUGAUGACCCCAUGUGGAUAAAACUGUAAUGAUAACCACUUUAAUUUUCAGUACACAAAGUGUGCUACUGUAGAACAGACACCAGAUGGCAGUAUACGACUAGGAUGUGGAAAACAUAAAAUUACUUGUUUUUUUGCCCGUGAAUAUUUGAGUCAUUUUGGAUUCCAAAUAACCUCAAAGAAUAAGAUUAUGUAAACAAAUGGACUUCCGUAUACACAUAUGGGAAUUCACAGCUAGUGUGACAGGCUAUGAAGUUAAGAUUUCCACCAAUUUCAACCACAAACAAUACUAUAAAUAAUAUGUCAGAGCAUUGUGAGGAUUUUGCUGGCAACAAUCAGAAGCCUAUUGUGGCUUGUAUGAGGUAUAAAUAAAUUAGGGUUUUCAUUGUAAAUAGAGAACCAUGUAGAAAAUAUAUAUUUCAAACCUUUGUAGAGCCUUAUCAUUUAAAAAUACGUGUAUCAAGAGAAAACCAGUCAUAAUAGUCAUAAUAAUCAAUAAUAUUUCAACCGGACAAUAACGUCGUCAAUAUAAAAGGUAAACAAGAAAGGCGUUCUCUCGGUCAUGCACAUGAAAAAGCUCUGGGACACUGUAGUGUCCACUCAUUCAGAGAGUUCUUACUCCCUCAUUUUUCAGAAUACAAGCCUGAAACAAUUUCUAAAGACUGUUUACUUCUAGUGGAAGCCAUAGGAAGUGCAAUUUGAGUCCUAAGUCAAUGGAUACUAUAAUGGCAUUCAAUAGAAAACUACAAACAUUUAAAAAAUCCCACUUCCUGGAUGGAUUUUUCUCAGGUUUUCGCCUGCCAAAUCAGUUCUGUUAUACUCACAGACAUUUUUUAACAUUUUUGGAAACUUUAGAGUGUUUUCUAUCCAAAUCUACCAAUUACCUGCAUAUCCUAGCUUCUGGGCCUAAGUAGCAGGCAGUUUACUUUGGGCACACUUUUCAUCCGGAAGUGAAAAUAGUGCCCCCUACCCUAGUGAAGUUAAGCAUAGAAAGAUAUUUAUGACAUGCGUAUGUUUAGCCCUUGAGCUAACUCUGGCACUGGAUAAAUAUGAACAUUUAGCUUUAGAGUCAGC